rnacentral:lncRNA from 1 species
UUAAAUAUUUGAAAUUCUAAAUAAAGCAUUUUGUUAAUAUUAAUUCUUCAGAUAUGUAACUGUCACUAAUUCUUAUAAUAUUUAUGAAAUUUUGUCCUGUAUUCAGGAACUAAAGGCAAAAUGAACAAAAGUUAAUUUUUUUCUCUAGGCACAAACCAGUCUAUAUUAAAGGUUUCAAAUCUGCUCUUCCUUUCCCUUAUUUUUUUUUUUUUUUGAAAAUCAAAUUCAAUGAAUCUUAAUUCUUAUGUUUUUUUUUUUUUCAGGAGAAAUGAUGGUACUAUGUUGCUAUAUACUGGCCUCAAAAAUGAAUUAUUCAGUCUUCCCUUUAUUUUUUUUUUUUUUUUUUACCAAGUCUUAUGAUUAUUUAAUGUUUCUAUAA